rnacentral:misc_RNA from 1 species
UUUCCGUAGGUGAACCUGCGGAAGGAUCAUUAAUGAGUUGUCAUGGGGUUCGAUGCUGGCAGCCAAUUUUUGGAUGCAUGUGCUUGCCCUAACAAUCAUCUUCCAAACACCUGUGCACAUUUUUGAGGGAGUCUUGAGUUGGUUGCCGCUCUUGGGUGAGUUUCUCACAUUCCCUUAAAUCAUUAUACGCUAUUAACAAUGUUGAACGUGCUCUGUGCCGCAAGGCUAUUAAUAUAAUACAACUUUUAACAACGGAUCUCUUGGCUCUC